GCCACGGUGGUCUAGCGGUCAGAACACUAGCCUUGUAUGCCUGGGGUCCCGGGUUCGAUUCCCGACGGUGCCC
rfam:Zootermopsis nevadensis contig34118, whole genome shotgun sequence.